rnacentral:lncRNA from 1 species
GCGGAGUGGGCAGGGCCGGGCUGGAGGGGGCGGGGUGACUAAAGGAGCAUGGAAAUUCAAGGAACUGGGGGAUUCAAGUUGCCGGUACUGGAAGCGCCAGGAGGACCGGGCUGUAAGAAGACUGGGCUGAGUUCUGCACUUCGGGGUGGAACUAGUCGGACCCAAGAUUAAAGAGCAUAGCAGGAAAAGGGAAGACUAUUUUGCUGAUGAAAGAUUAAAGCGGGCCUGUACUGGGCGGAGCGAUGCAGCGGUGAGAGGAUCAUCAGUCUAUUGGCUGAUGAAGUUUGCUUGAGAACAGCUGCAGUAGUCUUUCCACGGUCUGAGGACGGAAGCAAUCUCGAUGUCUCCAUCUCUCUGUCUCUGGCUUCUCCUGUGUUCUCUUAGUAACCUCACAGGCACCAUUGUCUCAGCAGUGGAGAUAUCCUCUCUGAAUGGGACCGUGGGAAAAUCUAUCCUGCUCUGUAUAGCCACAGAUUAUGGAAAUGAGACUCGGUCAAUUGAAUGGAUUGAUAAGACUCGCAAUCAACUCCUGUUCAAGAUCCAGCCAGGAGAAAGUGAGUCAAACUGGACUACCGCCCAGGACACAUACAAAGGGAGGCUGUCUGUACAUGAUAUGCGUUGUCUGAAGAUUGAGAAUCUGACCUCUGAAGACAGUGGUCUCUAUGAAGUAGAAAUCAAGUUGAACACUGGAGAAAUAAAACCUCAGAUCUUCAACGUGACUGUGUCUGGCACUGUGACUACAGGAUCCAACAUGAAACCACGGAAUUACUGGAUCUCAAUUGGCAUCCCAGUGGGUAUAGUCUGUGUUGUCCUCCUAGGGAUCGGAGUCCUGCUGUGUAAAGGAAAAAGGAAGAGACUUAAGCUGAAAGAAGAUGGAAGCAUCAGAUCCCAAAGCACAAUUUCUUACAAAGAUGCAGAAAUGGAAGGUCAUCCUAAACAGUGUAUUUGUGAUUUCAGUGUAUUUUCAAACAAAGUGUGUGAUGCUCUGGCAGAUGUAUGAUUUUGGAUUACUGUGUUGUAUAAGAGUUAUUAAGGGGGGCAGCUGGGUAGCUCAGUGGAUUGAGAGCCAGGCCUAGAGCUGGGAGGUCCUAGGUUAAAAUCUGGCCUCAGACACUUCCUAGCUGUGUGACCCUGGGCAAGUCACUUAACCCCUAUUGCCUAGCCCUUACCACUCUUCUGCCUUGGAACCAAUGCACAGUAUUUAGGGUUAAGCCACAUUUCUCCUGCCAAGGCUUUUCACCUACCCACCCACCCUCACAAAGCCACUUCUCCUGAUUCCUCUUGCUCCUGCUGCUAAAUUCCAUCAGCUUGCUUCUACUCUUGCUCCUGCUCCUGUUCCUGCUACUACUGUCUGAUCCUGCCUUCUGAGUUGUCCCAGCCAUCCACUCCUGACCUUCUCGACCCAGAUCGCUCACAGGCCCCAGCCCCAGCCCUGGUCCCACUGGUAAAAACUGAGGUGCUCUUUCCAUAGACAACAAUUAGCCUUCAUGUGGCAGGGGACCAUAGGGGGAGAAGGGGAGAAGGAAGUCACUCUUCCAAAUGGCAUAUUCUAUGAAAGAGCAGGACCUUGCCUAUUUCAAACAGCUUCCAAUGGAAUACUAUUGUGCUCAAAGGAAUAAUAAAGUGGAGGAAUUCCAUGGGGACUGGAACA